rnacentral:rRNA from 1 species
UACGUAGGGUGCAAGCGUUAAUCGGAAUUACUGGGCGUAAAGCGUGCGCAGGCGGUUUUGUAAGUCUGAUGUGAAAUCCCCGGGCUCAACCUGGGAAUUGCAUUGGAGACUGCAAGGCUAGAGUGUGUCAGAGGGGGGUAGAAUUCCACGUGUAGCAGUGAAAUGCGUAGAUAUGUGGAGGAACACCGAUGGCGAAGGCAGCCCCCUGGGAUAACACUGACGCUCAUGCACGAAAGCGUGGGGAGCAA